rnacentral:misc_RNA from 1 species
ACGACGGAUAUAUGAAUCAAAUAGAAGAAGGCACAAAACUGCAGAUUUGGCAAACUGGCAACAGAUAUCAGAGGAAAAUCCUGUUGACAGUACUGUUGGAGAUGAUAAUGUAGAUAAUGCAAAUGAAGCUUAUGUUCAUCAGGCAUUUUUAGCAGAUUGGAGACCAGAUGCCUCAUGCCUUAUUUCGUCCAAACAUCCAUGCUUAAACGUUAGGGGGAAAAAUCUUUCUAGUGGUGCAUUGCCAAGCGAGG